rnacentral:tRNA from 1 species
GGCUGCUGCUGGCCCGGCUGGGGCUGACCCUGCUGGGGCUGCGGCGGGCCGUAGGGGUUCUGCUGCCCCGGGUUCUGGGCCGGGAAGCCGCCA